rnacentral:rRNA from 1 species
UACGAAGGGGGCGAGCGUUGUUCGGAAUUACUGGGCGUAAAGGGCGCGUAGGCGGCGACUCAAGUUAGAUGUGAAAGUCCUGGGCUUAACCUGGGGACUGCAUUUGAUACUGGGUUGCUUGAAUUCGGGAGAGGAUAGCGGAAUUCCCAGUGUAGAGGUGAAAUUCGUAGAUAUUGGGAAGAACACCGGUGGCGAAGGCGGCUAUCUGGACCGACAUUGACGCUGAGGCGCGAAAGCGUGGGUAGCAAACAGG